UGUCUCCAGAACUCAUCUGUGUUUUUGAGGCAAAUCCUUGCAUUAUAGAUCCCUGAUGAAGGACGGGGACUGUGCAGCGAUGCAUGGGAACUUGGAGGAGCCGUACUGCCAAGAAAGAGCCGCUCAGGGAGGUUAUUUGUUGCCCGUACCGGAAACCGACACAGGUGGACGAGGGUAGUACCCAAAGGCGCACAAGAGAACCCCUGUUAAGGAACUCGGCAAAAUGCACGUGUAACUUCGGGAUAAGCGUGGCCUCAAGUAGGUGAUGGGGAGAAACCGAAGCUGAAAGAGGUUGCAAAAAAGAGGCUCUGGCGACUGUUUACCAAAAACACAGAUCUCUGCUAAGACUUAAGUCUAAGUAUAGGGAUUGAGACCUGCCCGGUGCCAGAAGGUUAAAGAAGGGGGUCAACGGGGUAACCCGUGAAGCUCUUGACUGAAGCCCUGGUAAACGGCGGCUGUAACAAUAACAGUCCUAAGGUAGCGAAAUUCCUUGUCGGGUAAGUUCCGACCUGCAUGAAUGGUAUAACGACUGGAGCGCUGUCUCAACAGGGGACUUGGUGAAAUUGAAGUAUCGGUGCAAAUACCGAUUACCCGCAGCUAGGCGGUAAGACCCUGUGAACCUUUACUGUACCCUGGCAUUGUAUUCUGGCACGUUCUGUGUAGGAUAGGUGGGAGGCUAUGAAGCGUGGGCGCCAGCUUGCGUGGAGCCAACCUUGAAAUACCACCCUUAACGUGUCGGACUACUAACGGAUGCUGUGGAAGCAUCUAGACAGUGUCAGGCGGGCAGUUUGACUGGGGCGGUCACCCCCCAAAGUGUAACGGAGGUGUACGAAGGUUCCCUCGAGCUGUAUAGAAAUCAGCUGAAAGAGCGUAAAGGUAUAAGGGAGCUUGACUGCGAGAGAGACAUCUCGAGCAGGGACGAAAGUCGGUCUUAGUGAUCCGGUGGUUUUUGUAUGGAAAAGCCAUCGCUUAACGGACAAAAGGUACUCCGGGGAUAACAGGCUGAUACCGCCCAAGAGUUCACAUCGACGGCGGUGUUUGGCACCUCGAUGUCGGCUCAACUCAUCCUGGGGCUGAAGUAGGUCCCAAGGGUUCGGCUGUUCGCCGAUUAGAGAGUUACGUGAGCUGGGUUCAGAACGUCGUGAGACAGUUCGGUCCCUAUCUACUGUGGGCGCUGGAUAUUUGAGGGGAGCUGUUCCUAGUACGAGAGGAUCGGAAUGGACGUACCUCUGGUGCACCAGUUGUCGUGCCAACGGCACAGCUGGGUAGCUAUGUACGGAAGGGAUAACCACUGAAAGCAUCUAAGUGGGAAGCCUCCCCCAAGAUUAGAUAUCCCUUAAGGUUCCAGGUAGACUACCUGGUUGAUAGGUCGCAGGUGUAAGUACAGUAAUGUACUCAGCCGAGCGAUACUAAUAAACCGUUUGACUUGCCCCG
rnacentral:rRNA from 1 species